GCAUAUUUAUACAAUAAUUAUACGAAUUAAUAGUUUAUAUUUAAGUGGUUUAAAAUAUUUUUUUAGAUUUUGUUGUGAAAUUGAUUCAAUAGUUUAUUUUAAUACUCCAUCUGUAUUCAAUACGGAUCGUUAGUCGUUUUAACGUUUAUCGUAUCGAUGACGGCUUUAUUUUAUAUCUAUGAUUGGCUGUUCUGUGUUAGUCGGGCUAAAAUUAAUUAUGACUAGGUACAUGAGUUAAACUUUUAUUUUGCAUUUUUUGUUGUUGUCCUAUUUUUUUUUUUAUUUUUUUUUUUUUUUUGGGAUUUUUGAGUCGUCACUUUUAAGGAAUUUUCAGCUCGAUUUCGGAGCAUUUUCCAACAAUUUUUACAGACGUAUACAUACUAUUGGUUUUUGGAAAAUAUUCAUGUUCGUCCCUUUUCACGAUAACAAUGGUGACGAAAGUUAAAAGUUAUUAAUACGAUUUUUGUACAUAUACAAUAAUAUAUCAAUACG